CCCUUUGUAACUCAGCUGGAAGUGUCAGACUGUAAUGGAGGACUGUGUCAUCUGAAAGUCGCUGGUUCGAUCCCGGCCGAAGGGA